rnacentral:rRNA from 1 species
AGUCAUAUGCUUGUCUCAAAGAUUAAGCCAUGCAUGUCUAAGUACAAGCCUCACUAAGGUGAAACCGCGAAUGGCUCAUUAUAUCACACCUAAUCUACUGGAUAGUUAACAGUUACUUGGAUAACUGCGGUAAUUCUGGAGCUAAUACAUGCACAAAGCCCCGAACUUACGUGAGGGGCGCUUUUAUUAGAUCAAAACCAAACGGCCUCGGCUGUUUUCUUGGUGACUCUGAAUAACUUUGGGCUGAUCGCAUAGCCUAGCGCUGGCGACAUAUCCUUCGAAGGUGUGCCCUAUCAACUGUCGACUGUGGCAUAGACGCCCACAGUGGUUUUGACGGGUAACGGGGAAUCAGGGUUCGAUUCCGGAGAGGGAGCCUUAAAAACGGCUACCACAUCUAAGGAAGGCACGCAGGCACGCAAAUUACCCAAUGAACGAAGUUCGAGGUAGUGACGAAAAAUAACGAUACAGGACUCAUCUGAGGCCCUGUAAUCGGAAUGAGUACACUUUAAAACCGUCCCCGAGGAUCUAUU